rnacentral:rRNA from 1 species
AGUGAACGCUGGCGGUAUGCCUAACACAUGCAAGUCGAACGGCAGCACAGUAAGAGCUUGCUCUUACGGGUGGCGAGUGGCGGACGGGUGAGGAAUACAUCGGAAUCUACUUUUUCGUGGGGGAUAACGUAGGGAAACUUACGCUAAUACCGCAUACUACCUACGGGUGAAAUCAGGGGAUCUUCGGACCUUGCGCGAUUGAAUUAGCCGAUGUCGGAUUACCUAGUUGGCAAGGUAAAGGCCCACCAAGGCGACGAUACGUAGCUGAUCUGAGAGGAUGAGCGGCAACACUGGAACUGAGACACGGUCCAGACUACGACGGGAGGCAGCAGUAGGGAAUCUUACGCAAUGGGCGAAGGCCUGACGGAGCAACGCCGCGUGAGUGAUGAAGGUCUUCGGAUCGUAAAACUCUGUUAUUAGGGAAGAACAAACGUGUAAGUAACUGUGCACGUCUUGACGGGACCUAAUCAGAAAGCCACGGCUAACUACGUG